rnacentral:rRNA from 1 species
GAUGAACGCUAGCUACAGGCUUAACACAUGCAAGUCGAGGGGAAACGACAUCGAAAGCUUGCUUUUGAUGGGUGUCGACCGGCGCACGGGUGAGUAACGCGUAUCCAACCUGCCCAUCACUUGGGGAUAACCUUGCGAAAGUAAGACUAAUACCCAAUGAUAUCUCUAGAAGACAUCUGAAAGAGAUUAAAGAUUUAUCGGUGAUGGAUGGGGAUGCGUCUGAUUAGCUUGUUGGCGGGGUAACGGCCCACCAAGGCGACGAUCAGUAGGGGUUCUGAGAGGAAGGUCCCCCACAUUGGAACUGAGACACGGUCCAAACUCCUACGGGAGGCAGCAGUGAGGAAUAUUGGUCAAUGGGACGAGAGUCUGAACCAGCCAAGUAGCGUGCAGGAAGACGGCCCUAUGGGUUGUAAACUGCUUUUAUAAGGGAAUAAAGUGAGUCUCGUGAGACUUUUUGCAUGUACCUUAUGAAUAAGGACCGGCUAAUUCCGUGCCAGCAG